rnacentral:rRNA from 1 species
AGAGCGAACGCUGGCGGCAGGCCUAAUACAUGCAAGUCGAACGAACCCUUCGGGGUUAGUGGCGGACGGGUGAGUAACGCGUGGGAACGUGCCCUUUGGUUCGGAACAACUCAGGGAAACUUGAGCUAAUACCGGAUAAGCCCUUCGGGGGAAAGAUUUAUCGCCAUUGGAGCGGCCCGCGUCUGAUUAGCUAGUUGGUGAGGUAAAGGCUCACCAAGGCUACGAUCAGUAGCUGGUCUGAGAGGAUGAUCAGCCACACUGGGACUGAGACACGGCCCAGACUCCUACGGGAGGCAGCAGUAGGGAAUCUUGCGCAAUGGGCGAAAGCCUGACGCAGCCAUGCCGCGUGAAUGAUGAAGGUCUUAGGAUUGUAAAAUUCUUUCAGCGGGGACGAUAAUGACGGUACCCGCAGAAGAAGCCCCGGCUAACUUCGCGCCAGCAGCCGC